rnacentral:rRNA from 1 species
AGAAUCAACGCUGGCGGCGUGCCUAACACAUGCAAGUCGAACGAGAAAGUCCGCAAGGACAAGUAAAGUGGCGACCGGGUGAGUAACACGUGACUAACCUACCUUUUAGUGGGGGAUAACUCCGGGAAACCGGGGCUAAUACCGCAUAACAUCGCAAGAUCAAAGCAGCAAUGCGCUGGAAGAGGGGGUCGCGGCUGAUUAGCUAGUUGGCGGGGUAAUGGCCCACCAAGGCGAAGAUCGGUAUCCGGCCUGAGAGGGCGCACGGACACACUGGAACUGAAACACGGUCCAGACUCCUACGGGAGGCAGCAGUGGGGAAUUUGCGCAAUGGGGGAAACCCUGACGCAGCAACGCCGCGUGGAGGAUGAAGUCCCUUGGGACGUAAACUCCUUUCGACCAAGACGAUAAUGACGGUACUGGUGGAAGAAGCACCGGCUAACUCUGUGCCAGCAGCCGC